rnacentral:rRNA from 1 species
UACGUAGGGUGCAAGCGUUAAUCGGAAUUACUGGGCGUAAAGCGUGCGCAGGCGGUUUUGUAAGUUUGUCGUGAAAGCCCUGGGCUCAACCUGGGAAUUGCAUUGGAUACUGGCAAGCUAGAGUGCGGUAGAGGAUGGCGGAAUUCCCGGUGUAGCAGUGAAAUGCGUAGAGAUCGGGAGGAACAUCUGUGGCGAAGGCGGCCAUCUGGACCAGCACUGACACUGAGGCACGAAAGCGUGGGGAGCAAACAGG